rnacentral:rRNA from 1 species
UACGAAGGGGCGUAGCGUUGUUCGGAAUCACUGGGCGUAAAGGCGCGUAGGCGGCUUUGUAAGUCGGGGGUGAAAGCCUGAUGGCUCACCACAGAAUUGCCUUCGAUACUGACAUGGCUUGAGACGGAAGAGGUAAGUGGAACGUGCGAAGUGUAGAGGUGAAAUUCGUAGAUAUUCGCAAGAACACCAGUGGCGAAGGCGGCUUACUGGUCCGGUUCGUGACGCUGAGG